GACGAACGCUGGCGGCGUGCUUAACACAUGCAAGUCGAACGGAAAGGCCCUGCUUUUGUGGGGUGCUCGAGUGGCGAACGGGUGAGUAACACGUGAGUAACCUGCCCUUGACUUUGGGAUAACUUCAGGAAACUGGGGCUAAUACCGGAUAGGAGCUCCUGCUGCAUGGGGGGGGUUGGAAAGUUUCGGCGGUUGGGGAUGGACUCGCGGCUUAUCAGCUGGUUGGUGGGGUAGUGGCUUACCAAGGCUUUGACGGGUAGCCGGCCUGAGAGGGUGACCGGCCACAUUGGGACUGCGAUACGGCCCAGACUCCUACGGGAGGCAGCAGUGGGGAAUCUUGCACAAUGGGCGGAAGCCUGAUGCAGCAACGCCGCGUGCGGGAUGACGGCCUUCGGGUUGUAAACCGCUUUCGCCUGUGACGAAGCGUGAGUGACGGUAAUGGGUAAAGAAGCACCGGCUAACUACGUG
rnacentral:rRNA from 1 species